UUGGAGCACGUAUAGACAUUUGCUGGGUGG
rnacentral:piRNA from 1 species